rnacentral:rRNA from 1 species
UACGUAGGGGGCAAGCGUUGUCCGGAAUCAUUGGGCGUAAAGAGCGCGUAGGCGGUCCGGUAAGUCCGCUGUAAAAGUCAAGGGCUCAACCCUGGAAAGCCGGUGGAUACUGCCGGGCUAGAGUCCGGAAGAGGCGAGUGGAAUUCCUGGUGUAGCGGUGAAAUGCGCAGAUAUCAGGAGGAACACCAACGGCGAAGGCAGCUCGCUGGGACGGUACUGACGCUGAGGCGCGAAAGCGUGGGGAGCAAACAGG